rnacentral:misc_RNA from 1 species
AACAUCGCGCACCUGCGGGAACCUGCGGAGGGAUCAUUAGUGAAUGCUUUGUGGAUCCUCAUGCAAUCAAACAUGAGUCGACUCCCAAACACCCUCUCACUAUCCACUCCGGCAAGGGUGCUCUGAUUCAUCAGGGGGCCUGAGCCGAGGGCACUCUUCCCUUCUACCAAAGGGGUCUUGGAUGGGUAACGUCCUUGACUCCAGACAGGAGGAUGCCCGCAAAUUGAAGGAUUGGCCUCU